GGGCCGGUAGCUCAGUCUGGCAGAGCGUCUGACUCUUAAUCAGACGGUCGAGGGUUCAAAUCCCUUCCGGCCCG
rnacentral:tRNA from 1 species